rnacentral:rRNA from 1 species
UACGUAGGGCGCAAGCGUUGUCCGGAAUUAUUGGGCGUAAAGAGCUCGUAGGCGGCUUGUCACGUCGGGUGUGAAAGCCCGGGGCUUAACCCCGGGUCUGCAUUCGAUACGGGCUAGCUAGAGUGUGGUAGGGGAGAUCGGAAUUCCUGGUGUAGCGGUGAAAUGCGCAGAUAUCAGGAGGAACGACCGGUGGCGAAGGCGGGUCUCUGGGCCGGAACUGACGCUGAGGAGCGAAAGCGUGGGGAGCGAACAGG